AUUGAACGCUGGCGGCAUGCCUUACACAUGCAAGUCGAACGGCAGCAUGAUCUAGCUUGCUAGAUUGAUGGCGAGUGGCGAACAGGUGAGUAAUACAUCGGAACGUGCCCUGUAGUGGGGGAUAACUAGUCGAAAGAUUAGCUAAUACCGCAUACGACCUGAGGGUGAAAGUGGGGGACCGCAAGGCCUCAUGCUAUAGGAGCGGCCGAUGUCUGAUUAGCUAGUUGGUGGGGUAAAGGCCCACCAAGGCGACGAUCAGUAGCUGGUCUGAGAGGACGAUCAGCCACACUGGGACUGAGACACGGCCCAGACUCCUACGGGAGGCAGCAGUGGGGAAUUUUGGACAAUGGGCGAAAGCCUGAUCCAGCAAUGCCGCGUGUGUGAAGAAGGCCUUCGGGUUGUAAAGCACUUUUGUCCGGAAAGAAAUGGCUCUGGUUAAUACCUGGGGUCGAUGACGGUACCGGAAGAAUAAGGACCGGCUAACUACGUGCCAGCCGCCGCGGUAAGAC
rnacentral:rRNA from 1 species